rnacentral:rRNA from 1 species
GAAGCAACGCGAAGAACCUUACCAGGUCUUGACAUCCUUUGACCACUCUAGAGAUAGAGCUUUCCCUUCGGGGACAAAGUGACAGGUGGUGCAUGGUUGUCGUCAGCUCGUGUCGUGAGAUGUUGGGUUAAGUCCCGCAACGAGCGCAACCCUUAUUGUUAGUUGCCAUCAUUUAGUUGGGCACUCUAGCGAGACUGCCGGUGACAAACCGGAGGAAGGUGGGGAUGACGUCAAAUCAUCAUGCCCCUUAUGACCUGGGCUACACACGUGCUACAAUGGGAAGUACAACGAGUCGCUAGACCGCGAGGUCAUGCAAAUCUCUUAAAGCUUCUCUCAGUUCGGAUUGCAGGCUGCAACUCGCCUGCAUGAAGCCGGAAUCGCUAGUAAUCGCGGAUCAGCACGCCGCGGUGAAUACGUUCCCGGGCCUUGUACACACCGCCCGUCACACCACGAGAGUUUGUAACACCCGAAGUCGGUGAGGUA